AACCCGACUACAUGAAGCUGGAAUCGCUAGUAAUCGCGGAUCAGAAUGCCGCGGUGAAUACGUUCCCGGGUCUUGUACACACCGCCCGUCACACCAUGGGAGUCGGAAAUGCCCGAAGUCUGUGACCUAACCGCAGGGGGGGAGGAGCAGCCGAAGGCAGGUCGGAUGACUGGGGUGAAGUCGUAACAAGGUAUC
rnacentral:rRNA from 1 species